UCCCUGGUGGUCCAGUGGCUAAGAUUCUGCACUCUCAAUGCAGGGGGUCCAGGUUUGAUCCCUGAUCAGGGAA
rfam:Ovis aries breed Texel chromosome 2, whole genome shotgun sequence.